AGGUGUGGUUAGAUAGAACUUAGA
rnacentral:siRNA from 1 species